ensembl:lncRNA
CUUCUGAUGUUUUUUGAGGUCUUGAUUAAUGAGCAUCACCUGAAGGUCUUGUUUGUCCUAUUUAUCAUCUGCUGGCCACUGCAGCACUCCUAGUGAUGGUCUAUGAAGAAACUUGGUGGGAUCUCUUUGCCCAUUGCAGUUCCCAGAAGAGCUGAGGCUGUCCCUCAUCAACGCAGAGAUGAGAACAAUGCAGACGGUGCCUGCAGGAUGCUCCUUGCCCUCUAGAGACCCUCAUGAGAAGCUCAGGCCCCCAGGGGAGUUGGCGAGAAGGUGGCAAUCUGCAAUACCUCACACCUGCACCACAGGAGACCUACCUUCAAUUUUUAAGGAACUAUGAUCCACCUCAGAGGAUCUUGUAUGUUAACAUGUUGCCUACAGAUCGUGAGUGGGGCUGAAAGGUUCUGUAUGGGGGAUCAAUACAGUCAGUCUGUUGGAAAGCUUUUGGCCUUUGUGAUACUGCUGUUGACUCGUAUGGGAAAGACUCUCUUCAUCUCCAAGAGUAUCACCUCACAUGGUUAAACCUCAUGGCUGUAGCAGAGAACAUGACUAAUUAUUGAAUUGGAGACUGAUUGAUGCACGAAAGACUCUGCAGUAGUGGGGACCUGGAUGGUGGUUCAGGCAGUCUUCCCUUUUUUGUUUCUACUGCCAGCAGCAGAGUUUCACAGCUAAUGCCCUUGCUCAGGAGCAGAGAGGAGGCUUUGAAGCACCCACUCUGAUCUCUGCAGGGGAGAUGGGAGCCUUCUGAGAGCUCAGAGCAGAGAUACCCUUUGGGCUCAGGCUGCUUCACCUCCUUAGAAAGAAGUGUAACUCAAUUCCCACACAGCUUUUAGCACAGGUCAUCUGAAAAUGCCCACACAUUGCAGAAUACGCUGUCAAAAAUAAUGAUGAAUUGCAUGCUGCACUUGUUAUACGUGAAGAAAUUGAACUCAGUAUUUCACCCAGCAAUCCUCAAAGUAUCCCUAGAUCAUAAUAUUCAGUUUAUAUUUAUUGCUUUUUCACCCCACAUUGCUUUGCUAUUCCAGGUGUGCUGGCAUACUCUACUCUAAAUUCUCUUUUCCCCUUAUGACUAAUCAGUGAUGAAGGCAUCUUUGUAAUCAUGAGGGAAGAAGUAGUUCCAUAUUGAAAAGGCUCUUGCUAAAUGAGGCAGAAAGGAAAACAAUACCUCAACAUUUCUUAUCUAUUAUUCCCCUGCAUUCAUGCAAUGCAAGCAAUUCAAAUAAUAUCCAAUUGUGUCAUUCCUGUUAAAAGAUGCAGCACUAUCUAGCUUGAAGGGAAAGCUCUUUUCCUUACAAAGACUUCUCUUUUUAUGGGAAAUUUGAUAUCAAGGUCUAAUCCUGUUUCUGACUCGGCUUCAGAUAUGAAACUGAGUCUACUUAAAGUUGCAAAAUAAUUUCAGAUUCAACCACUCAUUAAAGAUCUGCAGCAGACCCUGAUGAUUUUUCUUCCCGUAGAACACCAUUGUAAUCGAUAAAGAUUUUUCUGAAUAAAUGGAGAAAGAAAGGAUCUGUAAUGAAGGUCCAAUAAAAGUCAAGGUAGGAGAAAUGAAAAAUAGAUGGUUAAAACCCAGGAAGCAAUGGAACUUCAAAUUGGAAGUUAGGCUGAUGUGGAAAUUUAAGCAGGAUUAGCAUCAGGCUUAAUUGUCAUUAAUACAAUACU